AAUAUAGGAGCUGUCACAAUUCCCUACAAAAAAUUAUCAUAUUUCUGAACAAAUUAUUAUGACUAAAAAUUAUCAAAUUUCUUCAAGCAUGAUUAUACUAACCAAAUUGAUUUACAAAGACUAAUGCUAUUCAAUUAGGCUAACAAUAUGUGCAGUAAUCAAAUUGAAUUCAAGUAUAAUGCAAAGACACCUCUAUUUAAUGUGAAGUUCUCUCUUUAUAAACAAAGAGUAAAAUUGGAACAUAAGCACAUUCCUUUUACCUUUUAAUUGUUCCAAAAAAUAGAAUUGAAACCAAUCAUCCAAAUUGAAUUGAAUUCAUCAUACUAACUUUUCCAAAUAGAGUGUUUGGAUGAGUAAGCAAAGUUGCUUCAGUUUUGGCUUAUACAAAUGAAAAUGCUCACUGAAAAUGCAAAAAUAAUAUUUUUUGCCUUCAACAAGCCUGUUGACCAUAUCCGAGCUUAGAAGUUAAAAACCAGCUAGUAUUUCCAUCAUUCAGAUAUCAUAUCAGGGAUAGACGGAUUACAUGUCGAAUGUCGGAUAAUGAACCCUUUCCAAGUGAAGCAGAUGUGCCUGUGAAAUCAAGGACAUCAUCUAUCAACUGAAAUGCCAAUCCCAGAUUUUUGCCAUACUCAAAAGCCAACAUUGCAACUUCUGUUGUUUGCCCAGCAAGAAGGGCAAUGGCUUUGCAGCUGUUUGAAAUCAAAGAUGCAGUCUUGUAGUAUGUCUUUUGCAUAUAGUGAUCCAUGCUACAACGUUGCUCUGAUGUACUAGUCAUCUGCAUGGUUUCACCUGUCACAAGAUGCUCUACAACUGUCGCUAAAAGUGAAACAACCUCGGUGUUUUUCAAAGAAGCAAGGGCUACACAAGCUCGUGAAAGCAGAAAAUCCCCUGCUAAUACUGCUACCUUAUUGCCCAUGACAAAAUUUAAAGAACCAAUACCACGUCUAGUGUCUGCAUCAUCCAGAACAUCAUCAUGGAGGAGACUUGCCACAUGGAUCAUUUCUGUAAUUUCAGCUAUGCAUUGCUGUCUCGUACGCAGUUCCGCACCCAAAGUGUCUCCAACACCAUUUGGCAUAGGUUCAUGUAUGUGCACAUUUAAAGCUGUAGCCAUCAGCAACAAUACCGUGGGACGAAACCUCUUUCCUUCUACUCCCAUUUUGAAGAAGUAUUCAGCAGCUGAGGCAAGCUUAGGAACCUCAGCAACUACCAUAGCCCGUAACCUAUUAGCAAGGAGUGAUAGUUCAUCAGCAACAAGUGAGAACGGAUCAAGUGGCUCCUCAAUCAAGGAACUGCUCUGGUGAUGAAUUUGCUGUUUGAAGCCAUGCAGGGCAGAAAAACUCCAAGAAAAAGUUUCUCUGCGAUUGAAGACCUACUAAUCAACAGAAACAUUCAAAAUAUAAUUGUUAAUGCAUAUGUAGGACAACCAUAAAUCUCCACCAUCCGUCAAAAACAUGAAGAUAAAAGAAAAGAUUGACUAGAUAAAUGCCCCUGCAAUUUCUAUAAAUCCCAAAUUCCCAAUUGCAAAAAGCUCAAUUCCGGUCUCCAAAUAUCCCUCGCAAUUCAUCAUUUUAACUUACUCCCAACAGAGAAAUAUGAUAAUAAGAGAUGCAUUACACCAUGCAGCACCCAAAAACUAUAAUUGUUAUCUUGCACACGCUCAAGUUAAAUAAUUAGUCAGUAAAUCAGAUGAAUGAAAUAAUUUUCAUUCCCAAAUCGUGUCACUAAGCAUCCAUUUGGUCUACACCAUAUCUUGCUUGCACCUGUAAAACAACUAAUUGAGCUUCAAUUCAAGCAGAUAAAACAGUUUCCCAUUUAAAUUUACAACUAAAUCCAGUUAAGAAUAACCCAAUAAACACUUGUUUGAUGACUACCAAUAAAGAGACCCACCACCAGAUUAGCACCUCCAUGAUAACUCACACCUUCAGACGAUCAUUUUAAGCUCAACCCAUCACUUCGUUUCCUGAUUUUAAGCUCACAGCUUCUUUAACAGCUACACGUUCUCCUCCAGUCUUCCUUAAAACCCCAAAAAAAUAAAAAUAAAAAUCUAAUCGUCCGCCGCCGCCGCCACCGAAAAAAAAAGGAACAGCUCCGUUUGGUUGCAAAUGAACAUUUAAGAACCCAUUAAUAACAACUUAAAACCCAGUAAUAUUCCUCUUUCUGAAUUCGUUUUUCUCCGCAAUCAUACAGUCCAAAACAGAAAGGGCGAAAAGGUCAACUGCAAUGCAUUAUUACCUUAUGAGUAUAGUCUCCAAGAAGUUGGGAACUAUUUGAUAUAAGAAACGGGUCUAAUUGACGAGAGAGAAACAAACGACGGCCGUUUCUCGAAAUCUGAGAGACACACCGCAAGAAUUGCAUCGCCGCCAGUCUUUCUUAGUGCAGCCACCCAAGGGAAACAAACAGAUCGCGAGCGAGAGACUGUGU
rnacentral:misc_RNA from 1 species